rnacentral:lncRNA from 10 species
ACAUCAUAAUGGUUCUUUUGCCAACAGGAGCUGGUAAUCAGGAUGGCAGUGAGGCAGGCACUUGCUUGCAGAAGAACAGGCCUAGUUUUUUAAGAAGCCACAAAAGUGUCUUUGGAUGAUUAGGAUCUAAGGGGCCAACAGCUUUGCAAUAACAGCAUAAAUAUUGUGGGCUGGAUGGACAGGCACCAAAUGGGGACAUUCCAUCCUGCUGUGUGAUGAGAAAGCUGCCACUUUUGAGGCCUUCCAAAACAAAUCAACACUCCAUAUGCCAGAAGGAAAAGCCCAGGAAAGACCUAUUCCAACUGGAGAUGGUGAAUGUCAUUUCUUCAAGAAGCUGAGAUCCAGCUGGAAUACGAAGGGAGAAUGAAACAAAACUGCUCCGCUUAGGGAACUUGGAAAGGAAAUUGAAAAGGCAAGGCACAGGCUGGAAGAAAAUAUUUGAAAAAGAUUUAUGUGAACUUCUUUCUGGAUUAUACAAAAUAUUUUUAGAUAUUCUUACAACUCUAAAAUAAGAUAACUCCUUAAAAAUCUAAAUUCUACCAAAGGAGAGAUAAAGAUGACGAAUACAUUCAAAGAUGCUGAAAAUCACUUAUUUAUUAUUAGGAAGUUACAAGCUAAAGCAUAAUGAGAUACCACUACAACCUACUAAACUGACUAAAAUUAAUCAGACUAACCAGGUGUUGGCAAGAAACAGGG